ACGGGUGAGUAAUAGCAAAGAAUGUACCCUUAGAUCUGGGAUAAAAUAAAUACCAGUAUAAAUUAAUAGUAGAUUUUUCUUUAGAGGAGAUUCGAGUUUAAAUAAUAAAGGAGAUUAAUCUUCGUUUAAGGAGCGGCUUUGUUCGUAUUAGCUAGUUGGUAGUGUAAAGGACUACCAAGGCGAAGAUGCGUAGCUGGUAUGAAAGUACGUCCAGCCACAUCCGUACUGAAACAAGGACGGAACUUACAAUGUGAGGCAGCAGUAAUGAAUCUUUUCCAAUGGGCGAAAGCCUGAGAAAGCUACACGCAAUACCUGUGGUGGUGUUUUUAUAGAUCAUACCACGUUGAUACAGGAAAAAAAGGUUUCUAUAAUGAAGAAAUUUUUAGAUGAGAGGACAGCCCAAUAUACGUGCCAGAAGGAUCGGUUAUACGUGAUGUUCAAGUGUUGCUCUAUAACUUAAGGCGUAAAGGAUGUGUAGGUGGAUAUAGAUGUCUUUGUUUAAAGGUUAGGUUUAAAGCUUAUUAUGAUAAAGAAACACUAUAUCUAGAGUUAGAUAGAGGAUUGUGGAACGACCAAGGUAUCGAUAAAAUGAGUAAAUCUUGGUAAGAACACCAAAGGCGAAGGCAACAAUCUGGGUUUUAACUGACGCUGAAACAUGAAAGUCUAGGUAGCAAAGACGAUUUGAUACCGUUGUAGUCUAGACCGUCAACGAUGUAAACUAGGUGUAAGAUAUUAAUAUUUUGUGCCGUAGGUAACCCGUUAAGUUUACCGCCUGAAUACUACGACCGCAAGGUUAAAAUUCAAAAUAAUUGGCGGUUCAGAAGAUAGACGGAGGAUCAUGUGGUUUAAUGCGACGAUCCGCGCGAAACCUUACUUUCUCUAGCUUAUGUUUUAUAAUAUAACCAGGUGAUGCAUGGCUGUCGUCAGUUCGUGUUUUGAAAUGUAUGAUUUAUUUCGGUUAACGAACGAAACCCCUACGCAAUAUUAACUAAGAUGUAUUUUGCGAACCGCUAUUGUAAAAUGGAGGAGGGAGGGGAUUACGUCAAGUCCUUAUGUCCUUUAUGAGAAAGGCUACACAUGUGAUAUAAUUGCUACUACAAUAGUUUACUAGUCGGUAACGACACGUCAAUACAUAAAAGUAGCACCAGUUCGGAUUGAAGACUGAAAUCUGUCUUCAUGAAGUAAGAUUCGUUAGUAAUCGAAAAGUAGAGCGUUUCGGUGAAUCUUUAUAUUCUGUUCGUACAAACCGCCCGUCACUACCGGAAAUCUUAAAUUGUCUGAAGUGAAACCCUUAUUGAGAUCUUUUAGAAGAUAAAACCUCAAUAGAGUAAGUUUUAGCACGAUGAUUUUGAAAUCGGGUAAAAGUCGUAACACGGUUGCCGUACCGGAAGGUGCGGCAG
rnacentral:rRNA from 1 species